rnacentral:rRNA from 1 species
CCUACGGGAGGCAGCAGUGGGGAAUAUUGCACAAUGGGCGCAAGCCUGAUGCAGCCAUGCCGCGUGUGUGAAGAAGGCCUUCGGGUUGUAAAGCACUUUCAGUCGUGAGGAAGGUAGUGUAGUUAAUAGCUGCAUUAUUUGACGUUAGCGACAGAAGAAGCACCGGCUAACUCCGUGCCAGCAGCCGCGGUAAUACGGAGGGUGCGAGCGUUAAUCGGAAUUACUGGGCGUAAAGCGCAUGCAGGUGGUUUGUUAAGUCAGAUGUGAAAGCCCGGGGCUCAACCUCGGAAUAGCAUUUGAAACUGGCAGACUAGAGUACUGUAGAGGGGGGUAGAAUUUCAGGUGUAGCGGUGAAAUGCGUAGAGAUCUGAAGGAAUACCGGUGGCGAAGGCGGCCCCCUGGACAGAUACUGACACUCAGAUGCGAAAGCGUGGGGAGCA